rnacentral:rRNA from 1 species
GUCCACGCUGUAAACUAUGGAUACUAGGUGUCCGGGGUGUUAACCCCCUGGGUACCAAGCUUACGCAUUAAGUAUCCCGCCUGGGGAGUACGGUCGCAAGGCUAAAACUCAAAGGAAUUGACGGGGGCCCGCACAAGCGGUGGAGUAUGUGGUUCAAUUCGACGCAACGCGCAGAACCUUACCUGGGCUUAACAUCCCACGACAAUCACAGAGAUGUGACUUCUACUUCGGUAGCGUGGAGAUAGGUGCUGCAUGGCUGUCGU